CAUGUCGAGUGAGGUAUGAGGUUUUCCUCGUGUUUUUGUGAGCUGGUCAUUCUUGAUCGGUUGAUCCUCAUCUUACCACGAGGUUCGUCGUCGUUGUAGGGACCACCGAAGAGACGCCAGUGGUACCUCGCACGAGACGCCACGGCGGCGGGACGAUCAGCAUACCCGCCAGCGGGACCGCCGGCUCUCAAUGACCGACUCCGGGGCCGCCGAGCCGGCCCGCGAGGGCCUGCGUCCCAGAGCCGCCGUGCCGCAUGGCGAAGGGGCGGCCCCUGAGUCGGCUCUUGCGGGCCGUCUCGGUCCUCCGCGACAGGUUCGGGUACGGCGGCAGCACGGUGCUGCAACAAGGGGCGCACUACGGCGUGGAGGUGUUCUGACAGUUCCUUGUGCCACUUCACACGUAGUGGACCCUGCGGGACCUCGGGUCCCAGCAGUAGCGUUUCGGUCUCGACCACUGGGUCUAGGAUAGAUCGUUGAGACCGGUGAAGCUCUUUGAGUCCUGGUUAGAACCUCUGGACCAUACGGCGCCCCAGCCCUGGAUGCUGCCGCUCUUUACCCGCUCCGUAUCCUCCUAAGAGUUGGGACGAAAGGUAGAACUUUUCGAGUUCCGGUACAAGGGACGAAAGAGGUGCACGACGUGGCUCGACCACCUGUCUACCCUCUCAUUUGAUGACCGACGUCCAACACUCCCCAGCCAGCUUGAGCUGCAGAGGGUCCUCAAGGGCCAGGAGUGGCCUCUGCACUAGUGGGCGUGUAGCAAGCCAUCGUCGAAGUGGCUUCCUUCUUCUUAGAAACUCGAAGUUCAUCUGGUCCGUUUCUCUGAAUACUUCGAGGAGGUCAUAAACAUGUAGGGCCCGAAGAACAUUCGUGUGAUAAGAGGGUUGAUGAGGUGGAAAGAUCAAAAAACAAUCAGUUGGGUAACGUGUACCUGGCACGAUCAUAAAAGGCCUUCGUUUAUAAGAUGAAACUUGUUUUUGGUGUUGUGAAUAAAACUUAGGCUCCCUCCCUCAUGAAAAAACGCUCCUAAUUAGUUAAUUUCAUUCGGGAAACUACGCUG
rnacentral:rRNA from 1 species